rnacentral:rRNA from 1 species
CCUACGGGAGGCAGCAGUAAGGAAUAUUGGUCAAUGGAGGCAACUCUGAACCAGCCAUGCCGCGUGCAGGAAGACUGCCCUAUGGGUUGUAAACUGCUUUUAUCCGGGAAUAAACCUGCUUACGUGUAAGUAGCUGAAUGUACCGGAAGAAUAAGGAUCGGCUAACUCCGUGCCAGCAGCCGCGGUAAUACGGAGGAUCCAAGCGUUAUCCGGAUUUAUUGGGUUUAAAGGGUGCGUAGGCGGCCUGUUAAGUCAGGGGUGAAAGACGGUAGCUCAACUAUCGCAGUGCCCUUGAUACUGAUGGGCUUGAAUGGACUAGAGGUAGGCGGAAUGAGACAAGUAGCGGUGAAAUGCAUAGAUAUGUCUCAGAACACCGAUUGCGAAGGCAGCUUACUAUGGCCUUAUUGACGCUGAGGCACGAAAGCGUGGGGAUCAAACAGGAUUAGAUACCCUGGUAGUCCACGCCCUAAACCGAUGAACACUCGCUGUUGGCGAUACACAGUCAGCGGCUAAGCGAAAGCGUUAAGUGUUCCACCUGGGGAGUACGCCCGCAGGUGAACGUCAAGGAUUGACGG